UUGACCAGACUUGUUCUUUUCUGUUGCUUAUUCAAUGUUCAAACUCCUUCAGUGCCAGAUUGCGGGAUCAAAAUGCCUUCCCAAACAUCUAACAUUGGAAUAUCUGUCUCUAACAUAUAUCUUUUGCAUGUUUCCACUCUUCAACAUACGUUAACUGCAUCAAACACUGCUCAGCCAAAAUCCAAAUUGCAUUAAUGACUUGUUCUUC
rnacentral:lncRNA from 1 species